rnacentral:rRNA from 1 species
GACGAACGCUGGCGGCGUGCCUAAUACAUGCAAGUCGAGCGGACGGAUGGGAGCUUGCUCCCAGACCGUCAGCGGCGGACGGGUGAGUAACCCUUGGGCAACCUGCCUGUAAUACUGGGAUAACUCCGGGAACCCGGGGCUAAUCCCGGAUAACUCUUUCCCUCCCUUGAGGGCAAGCUGAAAUAUGGCCUCACGCUAUCACUUACAGAUGUGCCCGCGGCGCAUUAGCUAGUUGGUGAGGUAACGGCUCUCCCAGGCGACGAUGCGUAGCCGACCUGAGAGGGUGAUAGGCGACACUGGGACGGAGACAGGGCCAAGACUACUAAGGGAGGCAGCAGUAGGGAAUGGGACGCAGUAGUGGAAAGUAUGACGGAGCAACGCCGCGUGAGAGAUGAAGGUUUUCGGAUCGUAAAACUCUGUUGUCAGGGAAGAACAGGUAUCGGAGGAAAUGAAGGGAGCGUGACGGUACCGGACCAGAAAGCCACGGCUAACUACGUG